rnacentral:misc_RNA from 1 species
GAUGAAGAACGUAGCGAAAUGCGAUAAGUAAUGUGAAUUGCAGAAUUCAGUGAAUCAUCGAGUCUUUGAACGCACAUUGCGCCCCCUGGUAUUCCGUGGGGCAUGCCUGUCCGAGCGUCAUUGCUGCCCUCAAGCACGGCUUGUGUGUUGGGCCCCGCCCCCCGGCUCCCGGGGGGCGGGCCCGAAAGGCAGCGGCGGCACCGCGUCCGGUCCUCGAGCGUAUGGGGCUUCGUCACCCGCUCCGUAGGCCCGGCCGGCGCCCGCCGGCGACCCCCCUCAAUCUUUUCAGGUUGACCUCGGAUCAGGUAGGGAUACCCGCUGAACUUAAGCAUAUCAAUAAGGGAGGA